UGAAUCUCAUCCUAGUUCCAUACCAGAGCUCAGAGAGAACGCGAGGUCCCUCGCCAGAGCUCGUCAGAUCUGCCGACCAACGAUGUAGCGGCCGGCGCCAGGGAUGGAACUCGCACCGGAAUCGCUCACGCAACUUGUGCUAAGCUUCUCCUCCAUCCCCACCAAAGAUCCAACUCUCUGUUUGACCUAUCAAGAACACCAAGAGGUGGUGGUUUUAGCAGAUUGGACAGAGAGCGAAAACCAGGGCGGGAGCUGGAUCGAGACAGAGCAACAAAUCCGCUACUAGGAAGAGUAGAAGCCGGAUCCAUAUAUUUGCUGCUAGGCGCCGUCGUUUUCAGGACAGACACCUGCAAAUGAUAACCUGUUUUGCAAUCAGAACAAUGUCCACCGCAGAGAAGGAUAGUCGUGGAACAAUACCAGAUGAGCGCCAGCCCUUAGAGGGCAGGGUCAACGCACUCAAGAAGGCAAUGUGUAACUUUGCUAAACACAAGACCGGAUUGGUCACCACACCUGAGAUUGGGAGAGAGUUUUACUCGGUGUUAGAAGCAUUUGAGUUUUACAACUUGAUUUUUUGGGAAACAGGGGUUGGUAACACAUAUGGACAAUGUAGGAGAAAUGCGCAGAAAGCAAAACCAUCAAAGAGCCAGUUUGCGAUUACGCGAUGAGUACAAACAUAUGGUACGUAGCACUUGUUAUAGAUUUUAAUGGUGCUUUCAUUGCCACCGUUAGAGGACUUUAUUCUACCCCCUCCCCCGGUUAAGCACUUUGUUUCAACACCACCAGUACUUAAGUAUUCAAAACAAGUAUACUUUCGCAAGUUCGUUAACUAAA